AACGAACGCUGGCGGCAGGCUUAACACAUGCAAGUCGAACGCGUGCAGCAAUGCACGAGUGGCGCACGGGUGAGUAACGCGUGGAUAUCUGCCUUUUGGUUCGGAAUAACCCCGGGAAACUGGGGCUAAUACCGGAUGGUUCCUACGGGAUAAAGAUUUAUCGCCAAAAGAUGAGUCCGCGUCCGAUUAGCUAGUUGGUGAGGUAAUGGCUCACCAAGGCGACGAUCGGUAGCUGGCCUGAGAGGACGAUCAGCCACACUGGGACUGAGACACGGCCCAGACUCCUACGGGAGGCAGCAGUGGGGAAUAUUGGACAAUGGGGGCAACCCUGAUCCAGCCAUGCCGCGUGAGUGAUGAAGGCCUUCGGGUUGUAAAGCUCUUUUGGCGGGGACGAUGAUGACGGUACCCGCAGAAUAAGCCCCGGCUAACUUCGUG
rnacentral:rRNA from 1 species